GUGGAUGGUGGAUUGGAAUUUGAUGCAAUGUGGUACACCGAUGAAGACCACAGUCUCGGCGGCUCGGCCAAUCAGCACGUCUACACUCACAUGAGUCACUUUCUGAAAAACUGCUUUGCUUGAACUUGUGAAACUUUCCAUUGGACCAAAUAAGCCAGAAGCUAAAGCACUGAAUCCAUGUUACUUCCAGACCACUUCACACACUUAAACACGGCAGGAGUGUGUGACUUCCCAUCAGCAGCUACUCAAUCCACAAGAAACCUGUAGCUACUGUACUGUGAUGCAAUAACAAACUCCUUUAGUCACGUUUAUCAGUUUUAUAUCUACAGUCUGAACAACUGAGUCAUGAAUCUUCAGUACACCGAAAAAAACAUGGAAAUACUUCCUUGAUGAACACAAAGCUUGAUGAGCUAGCUAAAGAAAACCGAGAGUAAAAAAAUAAACAAA